AUGCUCGCUUCAGCAGCACAUGCACUAAAACUGGAACGAUACAGAGAGGAUUAGCAGGUCCCCGUGCAAGGAUGAUACACAAAUAUGUGAAGUGUUCCAUAUUUUU